rnacentral:rRNA from 1 species
AUCUGGCCUCAAAUCAGGUAGGGCUACCCGCUGAACUUAAGCAUAUCA